rnacentral:lncRNA from 1 species
CUUCCUUGUCGUGUGGCCUCAGUCCUUCGCCGUCCCUCGCCGUCCUUCGCCAUCGCACGCCACCGCACCCCAUCUCUCGAAAUCUGCAGACAUCUUGAUUUUUCCCACGCUGUCUGUCAGGUCUCCGCCGCCACUCGACGCCAGGGCGCCGGGUGAGUCCACAGCAGGGCGCAUGGUCGGCUCCACUCUCACCAUCGGGGGAAACUGAGGCCCCGGGGAAGGCGGCCAGAGAGGUCAGGCCCUGUCCUUGGUGCAGUGUCUCGUCCUCUUUGCCGGAGUGAGCCCCCCAGGAUUCGCGUGUCCUCGGGAAAGACACUGGCAGGAGUGUCACAUGACUGCCGCCCCAUGUGUGUGAGAGGCGUCCUCUGGGAGAGCAUGGAUCCUGAGGUCCCAGGAUUGUCAGCUGACCUCUGUCCUGUGUGCCCAGUGGCCCCAGGUGACGUGUCUUCAAGAAGAGGCUGAGCUGCGGUGCUUGUAAGAGUCAUGUGCUGUUCCUGGGGCUUGGAUGAUGUAGGGGAAGCAAGGUGAAAGUGGUAUCCCGUGGUUCCACGUUCUGUCCUGCUGUGGGGCUGUCCCUCACAUGCUUUCAGUGGCUGUUGCAGAGGAAGAGCCUCCGGAAAUCUGCGUGGGUAAAGUGAGCUCCCCGGGGGAACCGUCCUCCUCCCUUGAGCGCUGGUGUGUCCAUAGUGUGCUGUGAUCUGGAUUAGCAGUGAGUUUUUCUUUCAGGGUGUGUGUGUAUGAUGUUAGGACCAUAUGCUCCUGACCUUUUCCAACCCAAAAGCGUUUCCAUUUUUUUAAUGCUGGAAGUGUCUUAACUCCUUUUGGGGUCUUAGAAGGACACACGGUGGCCGUGGCUGGGCCUCUGCUCAGCUGGGCUGCUCUCCCUGCCUCAGGCCCUUGACACCAGCCUCCCUCCCUUGCUGGCUCUCUUUCUGUCCUUCCCUGCUCUUGUAUCCAAAAGUGAUCAUGGGUUGCCUGUGUCCCGAUCAUUAACAGUGCAGGGGUAGGAGUGCUGAAAGACAUCUUCCCUGCGUUGGUCCAGCCUUCCCUUUCAAACCCUGGAGCUUUCCCACGCUGCAGCCUUUUUCCAACUAGGCUUUCAGAGCUUGGGCCUUUGUGGGCCCAUGUGAUGUGGUGACUAGACCCACCCCCUGACUUCUGAGGGUUCAUUUUGUCUUUUCAUGUUAGGGAUCCUCCUGCCAGAAACCAGUCUGCAUUUCUCUCUGGGCCCCACGCUGGAAUGAAUUCAGAUAGCAGUGAAGGGCACACGUGAGAACUGCGAAUCACGGGCUUUGCUUCAUGAAAUGUGAAAUCCACAUUGUUUCCACAGGCACCAUCAGUAAUGUCGAACAAAUGGAGAAAGUUGCAGGUGGGGCUAGGAAAGCUGUAUUCCUGUGGAUUACUCUAGCUGGUCAUUUGCCCCGAUUGUGAACUGCUUGAAAGAAAAACGAAACUUCUAAGAUGUUUGUCCUUUCAUGUCCUUUCUGUUGGGAUUUUUUAUUUGGUGUGCGUGAAUGAGGAGCUUCGCCCUGCUUGAAUGGGACCCCUCUCAGUGGUGUCAGCUUGGGGAGGAGGAGAUGGCCCUGGAGACUAAAUACUUGUAUGCUUUCUUACCCUCUUAGGUCUCAGCCUUAGAUCCAAGGACAGUCCAAGGAAGUCCUAAGACCAUGGAGUUGGUGAUCUGGGAUCUGGGUUUGCUGAUAUUUCUCACCGUGAAUCUCUUGGUGGUGUUUGUGGGCACGAGAGGGGCAGAGAAUGGAGAGUGAGGCUACCACAUGAAGCGUCACCAGAGCUGCUCCCUGCUGCCUGCUCAGAGCACCCCGGAUCCACUGUUCAAUCUGCACAAGAUUCGGGGUCCAGACAUGGGAGACUUCAGCUGCCUCAGAGGACCGUGGACAGGGAAGGCCAGCCUCGCAUCCCUCUGUCCAUGCCUGGAAUGACUUUAAUAACCAAGAGUUUUAUUUUUGAAUUUGUAGCUGUCGUUCACUUUUUACCCACCCAUUCAAUAAACCUUACAGAAUUG